AGAGUUUGAUCCUGGCUCAGGAUGAACGCUGGCGGCAGGCUUAACACAUGCAAGUCGAGCGGAGACUUCGGUCUUAGCGGCGAACGGGUGAGUAAUACCUAGGAAUCUGCCUAUUAGUGGGGGAUAACGAAUCGAAAGGUUCGCUAAUACCGCAUACGUCCUACGGGAGAAAGGGGGGGGAUCUUCGGACCUCUCGCUAAUAGAUGAGCCUAGGCCGGAUUAGCUAGUUGGUAGGGUAAAGGCCUACCAAGGCGACGAUCUGUAGCUGGUCUGAGAGGAUGGCCAGCCACACUGGAACUGAGACACGGUCCAGACUCCUACGGGAGGCAGCAGUGGGGAAUAUUGGACAAUGGGGGCAACCCUGAUCCAGCCAUGCCGCGUGUGUGAAGAAGGCCUUCGGGUUGUAAAGCACUUUAAGCGAGGAGGAAGGUUUUUAGUUUAAUACACUAAAGAAUUGACGUUACUCGCAGAAUAAGCACCGGCUAACUCUGUG
rnacentral:rRNA from 1 species